AAAGCGGAUUGGAUGAUCGCUUUUCUCUCGAGUAUGGGCCGAGAGAAGAGAGGAAAGUCCGAACACCCGUAUUGUUCAUUGAGAACGAAACGCAACGAGCAGUCGCUAACAGCGACCAGAUGACCGAGAGUGAUACUGUAGAAGUACCUGUCUACUGUUCAUACAUCACGUUCGGGAAGUCUAGGGAAAGUGCAACAGAAAAUAUACCGCUAACGUACCUUUCUGGGUACGCAGUAAGGUUGAAAUCGUGUGUCCACCUUCGGUGGGGUCGCGGAUAAGCAUCUCGAGUGAUCGAAAUGUGAAGCAGCGAUGUAAGAGCGCACGCGGAAUCAUGGUGACAUGAUUCUGUGGAAAACCCUGCUCGGUGAAAGAGCGAUUUGCAAGCUCGCGAAGACCCUGUCAGCAAUGUCAGCGGCAAGAUAGAUGAUCAUCCGUUCGAGGUACGCGAACGACAGAAUUCGGCUUACAGAUCCGCUCUUCGA
rnacentral:RNase_P_RNA from 1 species